UACGUAGGGCGCAAGCGUUGUCCGGAAUUAUUGGGCGUAAAGAGCUCGUAGGCGGUUUGUCGCGUCUGUCGUGAAAGCUUGGGGCUUAACCCCAAGUCUGCGGUGGAUACGGGCAGACUAGAGGCAGGUAGGGGAGAACGGAAUUCCCGGUGUAGCGGUGAAAUGCGCAGAUAUCGAGAGGAACACCUGCGGCGAAGGCGGGUUGCUGGGCUGACACUGACGCUGAGGCGCGAAAGCUAGGGGAGCGAACGGG
rnacentral:rRNA from 1 species